CUCAGCAACCUGUGGAAUAAGCGCACUUUCCAGAGUGAAGGACUGACAGGAACAGAAACAAAUGCUCCGGUAACGUUACUUCGCACGCACUGGAUUCUCAUGUAACGUCGCAGUGACAGCGGAGGUAACGUUACUUCGUUACAGCUUUCUUCAGUAACGACAAACUGGGUCUACCCUGACUUCGCGUUGCGCUUCCUGAAGAAAGGAAAAGCCCUGAUGUGCUUGUCACCCGAGCUGAUGGCCGGGGCUGUGAGAUGGAGCCCGAAUGUCUUCACUCAGUCCCUCUUCAGACACUCAAAGGCCGCUCUGUUUCAGCCUGAUGACGAGCCGAUUGGAUAUAAUCUUGAGCGGCGGACUCAGGAGAUGGGGAGGGAUAGGGAAACGCUACAGUAGUCUUUGCAGGGAAGGAUCGUCUUUCUCCAGAAGUAGGAAACGAGCGUCGGAGGGUUUCUGCUGCCAGUCGGCUCGCUCCUCCUGUUAUGACAUGGGACCAAAUUCAAACCAUGUGUCCUCGCACCCGGUUAGCUGCUUUUGCCCACCUCUAGCAUUAGCAGUCUGGACGGAUCCAUUUCACUGCCCCUCUCCCAUGCGGCGUUCUCAUUCUCCCAGCCCCAAAUGAGUCUCUCCGUGGGACUCCUGGCUUAAUAGGCUGGAACUUUCCAAUGUCCGGUCUCCGAAGGUGGCUGUUAUCCUCCGAGGGCCCCUGUGCGAGUUUCAAGCUCAAGCUCAUGUUAUGGGCUGGACGAGGUGCACACCAGGAUGUCAGAUGUGACGCUUCACACAGAUUUUCAUGGCAGUGUCUGAAGAGACGUGUGGAUGAGUGUGACACCGCUGAUUUCUCCACAUCAUGGAUUGCUCAGAGAUAUCUGGAGAUGCUCGUUUCAUAAGUGGAUUUAAGACGGUUGUGUGGACUAAAAUCUGCCGUUUCCUUUUACCAUGCUUUGACUGCAGAUACUGGAUUACUCGGACUGUUUUCUACUUUACGUCAUUUGUUUUCUUCUGAUUGGUCAGUACACUGUUCCAGUCAUGCUAAAAUAUACAAUACACACAGUUCUGUCAUGACGACUCUCGGAGGGAUUGGAAUGGUAAUGUACAUGACAAUAUUAAUGUAUUUGGU